UACGUAGGGGGCAAGCGUUGUCCGGAUUUAUUGGGCGUAAAGAGCGUGUAGGCGGCCUGAAAGGUCAGCUGUGAAAACUCGAGGCUCAACCUCGAGACGUCGGUUGAAACCAUCUGGCUAGAGUCCGGAAGAGGAGAGUGGAAUUCCCGGUGUAGCGGUGAAAUGCGCAGAUAUCGGGAAGAACACCUAUGGCGAAGGCAGCUCUCUGGGACGGUAC
rnacentral:rRNA from 1 species